UACGGAGGGUGCAAGCGUUAUCCGGAUUCACUGGGUUUAAAGGGCGCGUAGGCGGUGCGGUAAGUCCGCAGUGAAAUCUCUGGGCUCAACUCAGAGUCUGCUGUGGAAACUGCCGUGCUUGAGUGUGGGAGAGGUGAGUGGAAUUCCCGGUGUAGCGGUGAAAUGCGUAGAGAUGCGGAGGAACACCGAUGGCGAAGGCAGCCCCCUGGGCCAACACUGACGCUCAGGCACGAAAGCGUGGGGGAGCAAACAGG
rnacentral:rRNA from 1 species